UAUCUCUGUAGAGUCUGCAUAUCAAUAAGCGGAGGAAAAGAAACUAACUAGGAUUCCCUUCAGUAACGGCGAGUGAAGCGGGAAGAGCUCAAAUUUGAAAUCUUCAAGGUUCUACCUUGACGAAUUGUAGUUUAAAGAAGUGUUUUCUGUUGGAGUUUUGGUAAAAGUUCUUUGGAAUAGGACAUCAUAGAGGGUGAGAAUCCCGUAUUUGACCAUUAUUUCCAACUUUGUGAUACACUUUCAAAGAGUCGGAUUGUUUGGGAAUGCAGUCCAAGAUGGGUGGUAAAUUUCAUCUAAAGCUAAAUACUGGCGAGAGACCGAUAGCGAACAAGUACCGUGAGGGAAAGAUGAAAAGAACUUUGAAAAGAGAGUUAAACAGUACGUGAAAUUGUCAAAAGGGAAGCGUUUGACACCAGUGUUGUUUUUUCGAAAAUCAAUUAAAAAGAAGUUGGAUUUUGUAUUGUUAAGACCUUAUCAGCUUACUGUACCUUUUUCUUGCUCUUUUUAAUGCACUUUUCGUUUAACAAGUCAACAUCAAUUUCUUUUGCUGUAAAAGAGUCAUUGGAAGGUGGCUUUCUUUUCGGAGAAAGUGUUUAUAGCCUUUGACUCCUGCAAUCGGAGAGACUGAGGUCUGCAGCGUAGAUCCUUCUUGGAUUAGAUUCAUUUGUGCUAAGUUAUAGCUUUUCAUAGACAACUUGUUGACUAUGUUUAGUCUUGUAGCUUACUCGCUUAUGUAAUUUUACCUACGCUUAGGAUGUUGAUCUCUCACAGUCGAGC
rnacentral:rRNA from 1 species